UUUGCUUAUUCUUUCAAUGAGCCCAAAGCCAGGCUUUGGCUGGGACUCAGGAGAGCCAAGAGAAAGCUAUCGGAGGAAGAUGGAGAAAAACUUGCAAGUGGAGGAGAACAGCUCUUCCUAGCAGCCUGCAAUCGCUUUUCAAAAUGCCUCUCUUUCAUCAGACUCAGCUGUGUGCAGAAAAUGGGCUGAAGACUUUAACAAAGAGUUGUCAUGUCGGUGUUUUGAGGCUACAGCGGGAGUCCAUGCAGCUGACUUCAGAGCUGAAUGAGCUGAAAGGAGGUGUUGGCCAUAACUCUGGAGCAGAUGCAGUAGGGAUCCACUGGCUGAUCUGAGACGUUCUUCAGUGCAGCGUGAAUACUUUUGUGCUGUGAACUGAGCGUGGGUCUGACAAGUGCUGUAGCCAAAACCAGCUAAUCAGGGGAGCAUCAAUAGAGCCAAUUACUGCUCAGGCUGCGCUUUCAGCCACUCAUGCAUGUGCCACAGUUAUUCAUUCACUUCCUCCGCUUAGAUAGCCUUGUAGACUUUGAGACAGCCUUGUGUUUUCCCAGGCAGGAGCUCUUCCUUUUCUUCCACACAUCUUUACAGAUAUUUAAACCAAAGGUUUUUCCCUCUGGGCUGUGUCAUUUUCUUUGCUGUUUCUGUGGUGAUGCGGGUGAUUUAAGCCUUUUAAUAAAACAUAGCUCUGCUCUGUC